rnacentral:rRNA from 1 species
AGAGUUUGAUCCUGGCUCAGGAUGAACGCUGGCGGCAUGCCUAAUACAUGCAAGUCGAACGAGAGGAAGGAAAGCUUGCUUUCCUGAAUCUAGUGGCGAACGGGUGAGUAACACGUAGGUAACCUGCCCAUGUGCCCGGGAUAACUUCUGGAAACGGAUGCUAAAACCGGAUAGGUAGCAGACAAGCAUUUGACUGCUAUUAAAGUGGCCUUGGCCAUGAACAUGGAUGGACCUGCGGUGCAUUAGCUGGUUGGUGAGGUAACGGCCCACCAAGGCGACGAUGCAUAGCCGGCCUGAGAGGGCGGACGGCCACAUUGGGACUGAGACACGGCCCAAACUCCUACGGGAGGCAGCAGUAGGGAAUUUUCGUCAAUGGGGGGAACCCUGAACGAGCAAUGCCGCGUGAGUGAGGAAGGUCUUCGGAUCGUAAAGCUCUGUUGUAAGAGAAAAACGGCACUCAUAGGGAAUGAUGAGUGAGUGAUGGUAUCUUACCAGAAAGUCACGGCUAACUACGUGCCAGCAGCCGCGGUAAU